rnacentral:rRNA from 1 species
AAACUCAAAGGAAUUGAGGGGCCCGCACAAGCGGUGGAGCAUGUGGUUUAAUUCGAUGCAACGCGAAGAACCUUACCUACCCUUGACAUGUCCGGAACUUGCCAGAGAUGGCUUGGUGCCCGAAAGGGAAUCGGAACACAGGUGCUGCAUGGCUGUCGUCAGCUCGUGUCGUGAGAUGUUGGGUUAAGUCCCGCAACGAGCGCAACCCUUAUCAUUAGUUGCUACGCAAGGGCACUCUAAUGAGACUGCCGGUGACAAACCGGAGGAAGGUGGGGAUGACGUCAAGUCCUCAUGGCCCUUAUGGGUAGGGCUUCACACGUCAUACAAUGGUCGGUACAGAGGGUUGCCAACCCGCGAGGGGGAGCUAAUCCCACAAAGCCGAUCGUAGUCCGGAUCGCAGUCUGCAACUCGACUGCGUGAAGUCGGAAUCGCUAGUAAUCGUGGAUCAGCAUGUCACGGUGAAUACGUUCCCGGGUCUU